GGGGUUGUAGCUCAGUGGUAGAGCACUUGCCUUGCAUGUAUAAUACACUGGGUUCAAUCCUCAGCACCA
rfam:Ictidomys tridecemlineatus contig006654, whole genome shotgun sequence.